rnacentral:rRNA from 1 species
GAAGGCGAUCAGAUACCGCCCUAGUUCUGACCGUAAACGAUGCCACCUGACGAUCCGCCAGGGUUACUACCAUGACUCGGCGGGCAGUCCCCGGGAAACCCAAGCCUUCGGGUUCCGGGGGAAGUAUGGUUGCAAAGCUGAAACUUAAAGGAAUUGACGGAAGGGCACCACCAGGAGUGGAGCCUGCGGCUUAAUUUGACUCAACACGGGGAACCUCACCCGGCCCGGACACCGCGAGGAUUGACAGAUUGAGAGCUCUUUCUCGAUUCGGUGGGUGGUGGUGCAUGGCCGUUCUUAGUUGGUGGAGCGAUUUGUCUGGUUAAUUCCGAUAACGAACGAGACUCUAGCCGUUUAUAGCCCGAGCGGUUUUUGAUCUUUGCCGUCCAUACUCGUCCCGACCUUCCGCGCUU